UACGUAGGGCGCAAGCGUUGUCCGGAAUUAUUGGGCGUAAAGAGCUCGUAGGUGGCGUGUCGCGUCUGCCGUGAAAGCCCAUGGCUUAACUGUGGGUCUGCGGUGGAUACGGGCAGGCUGGAGGCUGGUAGGGGCAAGCGGAAUUCCUGGUGUAGCGGUGAAAUGCGCAGAUAUCAGGAGGAACACCGGUGGCGAAGGCGGGACUCUGGGCCGAUACUGACGCUGAGGAGCGAAAGCGUGGGGAGCGAACAGG
rnacentral:rRNA from 1 species